UACGAAGGGGGCUAGCGUUGCUCGGAAUCACUGGGCGUAAAGCGCACGUAGGCGGAUUGCUAAGUCAGGGGUGAAAUCCUGGAGCUCAACUCCAGAACUGCCUUUGAUACUGGCGGUCUCGAGUCCGGGAGAGGUGAGUGGAACUGCGAGUGUAGAGGUGAAAUUCGUAGAUAUUCGCAAGAACACCAGAGGCGAAAGCGGCGCACUGGAUCUCUUCUGACGCUGAGGCGCGAAAGCUAGGGGAGCAAACGGG
rnacentral:rRNA from 1 species